GUCUUUGGGCAAAUACUGGAUAAAGAGCCAUCAUUCCUCUAGCCACUGUGGUGAGUGAAGACUUUACUGCACAAGAGGUGGCUGCAGCCAGGAAAUUAGCCUGGUCCUGCCACAGUUACGGAGGAUCCAGGAAGAGUAGAUCUGCCAAUGAGAAGGUAAGAUAAUUUCAGCAAGCAAGGAUGAAAUGCGCUCCAUCGUGGGGUCUCACCUGGGGCCGUGCCUCGCUGGAUGCAGAGAGCUCAUCUCCUAGGAGCAUUCCCUGCUUGGCCUUCCAGCUAUCCAGGAUGGCAUAUUGCGUCUCAUUAUUCCAGCCUUCUCUUUGUGGCUUUCCCUGCGGUUUUGUUCAGCUGCAUUAUUCUCUGGCGCCGGAAUGCCGUGUUUCUUCGAUCAGAGGCCGGAUCCUACCCUCUGAAAAAAGCAGUACCUUUGACAUGACUGGCCCCCAGCCAGAUGAGGAGACCAGUUGGCACCUCAGUCAAAUACAUUUUUACGCCACAGAGCAGCUCCCCCACACACACUGUGAGCUGCUGGAGGCUGCACAGGUCUUACUUAACAACCUCGGCCGUAUAGCCAACUGGGUCUUGCACAAGCAUCUCCAAGAAGUCACAGCCUUUCUGUUAAAUUCAGUGAGUUUUGGAAUUAAGUUCAUGCCAGAUCCAGAUUAUAUCACGAAUCUUAAGACUGCAUUUUCUUGGGCACUUAGAAAUUUAUCCGUCUGUCUGUGAGAUUUCUUUCACUAAGUGAAUCUACAUGUGGGACUUUAUAUCUUUGUCAUUGAUAAAAUAUUCUUGGGCCUUUUCCCUUGUUCAUCAGAAAAGGAAAACGUAAAAACAAAGACUACUUAAAAUGUGAUUAAUGGACUAGUCAUCUGAUGUAAAGCUAAAAUUAGGGCUGCUCAGAGCAAAAUUUGGUCACAAAUAUAAAUCUUGAAUCUCUGUCCCUCCCUUGCCUGUGACUCCAUGACUUUGAACAUAACUUGUAGCUAACAUCAAACAGAAUUUGUCCUUCUUUUAAAACUGUGACACUUUUCCUUGCUAGUUGCUGGGGUCUUAGAAAAAU
rnacentral:lncRNA from 1 species